rnacentral:rRNA from 1 species
UCAGGAUGAACGCUGGCGGCGUGCUUAACACAUGCAAGUCGAACGAUGAUCCGGUGCUUGCACCGGGGAUUAGUGGCGAACGGGUGAGUAACACGUGAGUAACCUGCCCUUGACUCUGGGAUAAGCCUGGGAAACUGGGUCUAAUACCGGAUAUGACUCCUCAUCGCAUGGUGGGGGGUGGAAAGCUUUUUGUGGUUUUGGAUGGACUCGCGGCCUAUCAGCUUGUUGGUGAGGUAAUGGCUCACCAAGGCGACGACGGGUAGCCGGCCUGAGAGGGUGACCGGCCACACUGGGACUGAGACACGGCCCAGACUCCUACGGGAGGCAGCAGUGGGGAAUAUUGCACAAUGGGCGAAAGCCUGAUGCAGCGACGCCGCGUGAGGGAUGACGGCCUUCGGGUUGUAAACCUCUUUCAGUAGGGAAGAAGCGAAAGUGACGGUACCUGCAG